AGAUUGAACGCUGGCGGCAUGCCUAACACAUGCAAGUCGAACGGGAGUAGCAAUACUCUAGUGGCGGACGGGUGAGGAAUACGUAGGAAUUUGCCCUUAAGUGGGGGAUAACCCGGGGAAACCCGGAUUAAUACCGCAUGACCUCGAAAGAGCAAAGUGGGGGAUCGCAAGACCUCACGCUUUUGGAGAAGCCUACGUCGGAUUAGCUAGUGUGAGGUAAGUGGCGUCACCAACGGACGGACCGAAGUCCGUAACCGU
rnacentral:rRNA from 1 species